rnacentral:rRNA from 1 species
AUUGAACGCUGGCGGCAUGCCUAACACAUGCAAGUCGAACGAGUGGCGCACGGGUGCGUAACGGGUGGGAAUCUGCCCUUAGGUUCGGAAUAACAGCUGGAAACGGCUGCUAAUACCGGAUGCCUGAGGAGGAGCCCGCGUUGGUUUAGGUAGUUGGUGGGGUAAAGGCCUACCAAGCCGACGAUCCAUAGCUGGUCUGAGAGGAUGAUCAGCCACCCUGGGACUGAGACACGGCCCAGACUCCUACGGAAUGCAGCAGAGCGGAAUAUUGGCCAAGCGCGUAAAGCCUGAUCCAGUAAGGCCGCGAGAGUGAUGAAGGCCGUAGGGAUGUAAAGCUCGUUUACCCGGGAAGCUGUACCGGGAGAAUAAGCCCCGGCUAACUCCGUGCCAGCAGCCGCGGUAAUUC